rnacentral:rRNA from 1 species
ACUCCUGCGGGAGGCAGCAGUGGGGAAUAUUGGACAAUGGGCGCAAGCCUGAUACAGCCAUGCCGCGUGAGUGAUGAAGGCCCUAGGGUUGUAAAGCUCUUUCACCGGUGAAGAUAAUGACGGUAACCGGAGAAGAAGCCCCGGCUAACUUCGUGCCAGCAGCCGCGGUAAUACGAAGGGGGCUAGCGUUGUUCGGAUUUACUGGGCGUAAAGCGCACGUAGGCGGACUAUUAAGUCAGGGGUGAAAUCCCGGGGCUCAACCCCGGAACUGCCGUUGAUACUGGUAGUCUUGAGUUCGAGAGAGGUGAGUGGAAUUCCGGGUGUAGAGGUGAAAUUCGUAGAUAGUCGGAGGAACACCAGUGGCGAAGGCGGCUCACUGGCUCGAUACUGACGCUGAGGUGCGAAAGCGUGGGGAGCAAACAGGAUUAGAAACCCCGGUAGUCCCA